GGACCAUAGCUCAGUGGUUUGUGUGUCUGCUUUGCAUGCAUAAGGUUUCAGGUUCAAUUCCCAAUAUGCCCA